GUCCCCAUCGUCUAGAGGCCUAGGACUCAAGAUUUUCGAUCUUGUAACUGGGGUUCGAAUCCCCAUGGGGACG
rnacentral:tRNA from 1 species